rnacentral:rRNA from 1 species
UACGUAGGGUGCAAGCGUUGUCCGGAAUUAUUGGGCGUAAAGAGCUCGUAGGCGGUCUGUCGCGUCGGCUGUGAAAACCCGGAGCUCAACUCCGGGCCUGCAGUCGAUACGGGCAGACUGGAGUUCGGCAGGGGAGACUGGAAUUCCUGGUGUAGCGGUGAAAUGCGCAGAUAUCAGGAGGAACACCGGUGGCGAAGGCGGGUCUCUGGGCCGAAACUGACGCUGAGGCGCGAAAGCGUGGGGAGCGAACAGG